UGAUAAACAAGAAAAGUGACAAAAAUUCAAAAAAAUGACGAACUAAAAAAAGUGACAUUUCCCUACUUCUAGCAGAGCUCCAAAUCAGGAAGACACAGGAUUAUGGUGGACAAAAUCAUAACACAAUAUUUGUAGCUCGGUUGGAUAAAGGCUAAUAGACAUUCGUAAUCAUUGUUCAAUGAACUCUACAACAUUUGCCAUCAGCAUUUGCACCACGAACAUGUUCAAUUUAACAACAGAUUAAUUCUCAACACACAAUGGUCAAUUUUGAAGUCACGAAGCCAAAAAAAUUGGUUCUAAUACCAAUUUGUGGAGAAAUCAUCACCAACAACCAAAUAAUUAACACAAAGUUAGCUCUAUAAUCAAUUGACAGUGAGAAUUAAUUAAGUGAGUGAAAUGACAAUACUUUACUAUCAAAACUCCAAUUGAUUGGCUCCAAAAGCGGACGAAUCUAGGUUCAGAUCAAGGGCUCAAAAUCACACAGCAAUACCAUCCAAAUUGGGUCAAGAUUACUCACUCAAAGACCGCAGAAGAAUAACCUAAGAAUCGAUCAAAACGAUGCACACAGAGGCAGCCAAACAGGGAUAUUGAACGGGGGCGGUGAGCAUGGGAAAACGCACGGGAUAGAGGCCAAAGUCUGGUGCUCAAGCACCGAUUAGAGCACCAACUGAAGAAAGAAGAAAGAUAGCCACACGAAUGAACAAAAGUCAUAGCAACCAUGAAGAGGAGCAAAAAGAGGCACAACCAAUUUAUCUCAAGAAAAGCCAAAGAAGCUGUGUGUGAUAGAUCAUCCAGAUUUGACAAAGACAAAUCACUUAUUUAGGGUUUGGUUGGGGUUGAAUUGCAUUCAUCUUUCUUUCUUCAGAGAACGUAAAUUGUACGGGUAACAAAAG
rnacentral:lncRNA from 1 species